GUGGACCGAUGGGAGAUAUUUCUUACAGGCGACACAACAACUAAGUGAUCGGUGGAAGCUAAUGCGAGGCGGAGAAGACCCAACUGUUGAGAUCUGGAUCGCUGAUAAUCUUCCUAGUGAUGCUGCCAUAGGAGUUGACCCAUGGUGUGUGUCUGUCGAAUCAGCUCAGAGAUAUGAACAGGCUUUCUCAAGGAACAACCAGAACUUAAUUCAAUUAUCUACCAACCUGGUGGAUCAAGUAUGGAAAGACAGGCCUAUGGCUGAAACUUUACCUGUAAAUGUCCAUCCACUAGAAUUUGCUGGGCAUGCUGUUGAGGAUAAGUUAAAAGAUCUGAGGGAGAAACUUAAACAGGAGAAAACCUACGGUAUCAUAAUUGCGG
rnacentral:misc_RNA from 1 species